AGUGAGCUGUGCUGAACUGGGUCAUACUAUGCAGUGGAAAGGCGCCAAAAGUGUCCUACUUCGUGGCUUGAAGGAUUUAGCAGUUUCAGCGUUGGACUUGUAAUUCUGCGUGUUUGGCCUCUUUAGCACUUGCUGUUUGAAAGUCAUUGCUUGCAACAGAUUGAGCGACUGUCAUUCUGCAUUUCUGUUUGCAUUGGUUUGCUUGCAUUUUGAAUCCUUCGCAAUAAUAACUUCGCAAAAAGUUUUACAUUUGAACUGUAGUUGUAGAUUCAAGUUUGUUUUUCCUUGAUAUAAUGUAUUUAUAUAGAUUUUUACAAUUAUUUAUCAUGCAGUGCUUCAUAUAUGAGAAAGACAACGCUUGAAGAACCACACAACACUCAUAUUAAUGUAUGUGUCAUAUUAAUAAAAAUAAACAAGUCUUUGCACUUCA